rnacentral:rRNA from 1 species
GACGAACGCUGGCGGCGUGCUUAACACAUGCAAGUCGAACGAUGAAGCCUUAGCUUGCUUUGGUGGAUUAGUGGCGAACGGGUGAGUAACACGUGAGCAACGUGCCCAGGACUCUGGAAUAACCGCGGGAAACCGUGGCUAAUACCGGAUAGGUGCCGAGGCCGCAUGGUCUUCGGUUGGAAAGUUUGUGCGGUUCUGGAUCGGCUCACGGCCUAUCAGCUUGUUGGUGGGGUAAUGGCCUACCAAGGCGACGACGGGUAGCCGGCCUGAGAGGGUGACCGGCCACCCUGGGACUGCGGGACGGCCCAGACUCGUACGGGAGGCAGCAGUGGGGAAUAUUGCACAAUGGGCGCAAGCCUGAUGCAGCAACGCCGCGUGGGGGAUGACGGCCUUCGGGUUGUAAACCUCUUUUAGUAGGGAAGAAGCGCAAGUGACGGUACCUGCAGAAAAAGCACCGGCUAACUACGUG